GAAACGGUGAUUAAUACUAGAUACGCCUUCUUACUUAAUGUAAGUUGGGAAAGUUUUUCGCUAAGGGAUCGGCCUAUGUUGUAUCAGGUAGUUGGUAGGGUAAUGGCCUACCAAGCCAAUGACACAUAGCGGGUCUGAGAGGAUGAUCCGCCACACUGGUACUGAGACACGGACCAGACUCCUACGGGAGGCAGCAGUGGGGAAUAUUGCACAAUGGACGAAAGUCUGAUGCAGCAACGCCGCGUGGAGGAUGACACAUUUCGGUGCGUAAACUCCUUUUAUAUAAGAAGAUAAUGACGGUAUUAUAUGAAUAAGCACCGGCUAACUCCGUGCCAGCAGCCGCGGUAAUACGGAGGGUGCAAGCGUUAUUCGGAAUCACUGGGCGUAAAGGGUGCGUAGGCGGUUUGGAAAGUCAGAUGUGAAAGCCUAUGGCUCAACCAUAGAACUGCAUUUGAAACUUCCAAACUAGAAUACUGAAGGGGCAGAUGGAAUUAGUGGUGUAGGGGUAAAAUCCGUA
rnacentral:rRNA from 1 species